AUUGAACGCUGGCGGCAUGCUUUACACAUGCAAGUCGAACGGUAACAGGGAGCUUGCUCCGCUGACGAGUGGCGAACGGGUGAGUAAUGCGUCGGAACGUGCCGAGUAGUGGGGGAUAACGCAUCGAAAGGUGUGCUAAUACCGCAUACGUACUGAGGUAGAAAGUGGGGGACCUUCGGGCCUCACGCUAUUCGAGCGGCCGACGUCUGAUUAGCUAGUUGGUGAGGUAAAGGCUCACCAAGGCGACGAUCAGUAGCGGGUCUGAGAGGAUGAUCCGCCACACUGGGACUGAGACACGGCCCAGACUCCUACGGGAGGCAGCAGUGGGGAAUUUUGGACAAUGGGCGAAAGCCUGAUCCAGCCAUGCCGCGUGAGUGAAGAAGGCCUUCGGGUUGUAAAGCUCUUUUGUCCGGGAGCAAAUCCUGUUCACUAAUACUGAGCGGGGCUGAGAGUACCGGAAGAAUAAGCACCGGCUAACUACGUGCCAGCAGCCGCCGCUGUAA
rnacentral:rRNA from 1 species